AAAAAUUGCCACCGGUAGCUCUAUCUCCCCCUCUAGUUACCUAAGCCCGUCUGACCCUUUACCAAAAUCUCUCUCUCUCUCUCUGAGAUCGGAGCCAGUCAUGUCCGACGAGGACAGACGAUUUGCUGCGCCGGAGGUCCAGAAAAAUCUCUUAUCUCGGCGAAUCCGUUCGCAUGUUGUUAUGGACUGAGGAGUACAAUCUAUGUUGAAUAAUGCAGCAAUUUGAAUCGCCAAGUGGACGUUCCUAUGGAUUAAUGGGAGAACUGAACUAUAUGCAGGAGGAAGAUAUUCGGCUAGAGGCAACACGAUCUAGAUCGUCGAAUGCUUGGAAAAGACACGGUGAUUUAGCCGAGCGUAUGUCUAGGUGAAACUUAAUUAGAAAUUUUUAAGUCUUCAUUCAUCAUGUAUUUUUGGUUAUGUAUAAUGAUAGUUUGCAUUUUUUGGAGCUGUCAUUACUUGGCAGUACACUAAUGCUGGCUGCAAAAAGAAUUCAAAUUGAAGACCUCGGAAGUCGGAAGUUGUACUUCUUGACCUCAAGGUUAUUAAGAAGUUAUGUGCAUCAUUUUCAAGAGGAUGCAUUCAUUGAAAUAGGAGAAAAAUGUUGUGCAGUAGUGGAAGAAGUCAAUGGCUUUAAUAAAUUAUCUUGUAUUACCAACAUCUAUAUAUACAUAUACAAUUAUGCAUCCAGUGGACUGUAUUGAUUUAACAGGGAUUCUGACAAUGACAAUUUACGAGCAUCUACAUAAGGGAUUUGAAGCUGCACAGGCUUUUCAAACUCCAGGUAGCUCUGAAUAGAUUUUAUGCUGAAUGCUUCAUUUUAAAGUUACAGUUGCAUCUAGCUUUCGGUCAUCAUGGUAAGUUUUUCUUUAUUUGCUUCAAUGGUUUCUAAAUGCAUUUGGAGGUAAAUUCUUGGGUGUGGAAACUAUAGACCUACAUCUUCUGUGAACUGCAGCGGUUUUAAGUUGAACUCAACCAUGAUCAGGUUGUGAUAUCUAAGUUGAUAAUGAGUCUCGUGGGUUACUGUUUAAAUUCAUUGACUUGAAUUUUUUUAUGGCUAACAUAUUGGAUUGUGAAAUUUAUAGAUGUUUUUUUGAAAGGGGGGCGGAUUCCAAAGAAACUCAGCAAGAAGGAUAUUUUGCAAUAUAGAGCUCAUAUAAUCAAGACAUUUGUGGAACAUAAGCAUAGUUGGAUCUCUACUAAUUCAGAGUUUUAGAAAUUUUUUUAGGGCUUAGAUUGGCCAAUUGUAAACUCUAGCUUACUAAAUCAAUUAGCUUUUUGUAUCUUUUUAUGAUGUCACUGUUAUGUACGUAUAGCUUUCCUUAAUAAAACAUUAUAUUUAUAGAUCUUUUACAGCACAUUCAAGUUUUAGGCAUCUUUUGAAUUCACCAAAUCAAUAUCAAUGACCAUGUCCAAUAUUGAUCACAAGUCAGUACACAAGUCACUGUUAACCUCAAAUCACUGAUCAUGUUACUGUUAUACACAUUUCAUUGACCAAGUUCACUACUAGAAUUUUGGUCUUAGACAUCACGACAAUUACAUCGGUGAGGAAUUCACGCGAUGUAAAAAAAGAUCAUUAACAUCGAUUCCUCAAAUUCCAAUUUAUAUGCAUAUAAUUGAUACCAUUUAUUACUGUUGACCGAUGUUUACAAUUUGAUUCUGAAACUUUAAAAAACGCGGAAAAAAUUAAGUUAAAAUUUUCCCACUUUUAUCUCCCAAUUUUCACACUCCCUCUUCCUCGGAGCCCUAGCUCUUUCCUCCUUCCUCUUCCGCUAUCUUUCCACGGCAACCACCGCCUCCCUCUUCGGUCUCUCCUUGAUUAACGGCCUCCUCCCUCUCGCCGGCACCAUCACCUCUGCCUGCAAGCUCUCUCUCUCUCUCUCACUCACAUAUAUUUUUGUGGCUCAUCUCGGAGGUGCAACCUGGCGUUGACUCAUCGGAGGAAGGCGAAGAACAUGGUGGCGACGGUGAGUCCACCCCGGUUGCCGGAGAUCGGUGACGGAGGAGACAGAGUCCUCCAGAUCUACUUUCUCUCUCCUCCCUCUCUAUCUUGUCUGUGCUUUUCUUUCUUCUCUAAUGAACUAGACGAAUCCAGUAGCUAACCAAGCUUGGAUGGGAUGCGGAUUUGAAAUGUAGAGGAAAUUUAUGCUGUGCCAUUUUAUUUUUUUGAUGAUUUGGGAGCUGAAUUUUUGAUGUUUGAGUUUAUGUUUUGUUGCAGAGAUGAGUGAGUCGGCGAAGGUUUUGUACAUAGUGGUGGUGGAUGGUGAGGAUGAUUUGUUGGGUUGUUUGUGAUUGAUUGGUUCACUGUUGAAUCCCAAGGUUUGAGAUUUUUUGUUAUCUGGGUUUUGUUCUUCUUCUGUUAAAGUAUGAAUUGUUUUGGUGAGAAGUUUGCUGGGUACUUGAAUCAUGGUGUGGUUGAUUGGUUCAGUUGUGUUUCUAUACAUGGUCAGCGAUUAUUUGAAUUGAAAAUUUUGCAUCUGGGCUGGUUUGAUUUUAUUUGUUGUUUUAUGUAAUGGGUUUAUGAUCAGAUUUACUUGGAAUAUAUUAAGCAUGAUGGUAGCUUUCGAUCACUUGCUUUAUCUUUCUUAUAUCCCAAAAAUUACAAUAUAACAUUAGUGGAUACAAUCGGUGUGCCCCAGUUUUCUGCAUAUUUUAAUUUCAACCCACAAGUAGUCUAUAUUAGCUAUAUAUUUGUGGUGUAUAUUCAUUUACUUCACAGGUUUGCACAUUCCAUCUGGUUGUAAAAAGUGCUGCAUCAUUGUUUGGCGAUAAGGAUCCUGUAAAAUUGGAAACAGAAUCUAUGCUCAACGAUCUUAUAAGGUUCCUGGGAAGAUAAAUCUUGUACUGGAGUACUGCAGAGGAGGUGAUCUUUCUAUGUACAUUCAACGCCAUGGAAAAGUACCUGAAGCUCUUGCAAAGCACUUCAUGCAGCGGCUAGGUUUUUUUCAUCUGUCCAUUUAGUUUCCAAUUUUCCAUUAAUUUGGGUCUCUUGGCACCCUUAUUUUAAACUCUUGACCUUGUUGUUUGAUAUGGAUCUCCUACUUUCUGCAAUAGUCUUUGUUGAGUUACAUUGUUAAAGUGUGCUGACUCAAUAUUUCAUGACUUAACGUUGAUUCCUGAGUGUAGAAAGAUCCACAUGUUUGUCUAUAAUUGACCAUAAUCUUGAGAACUUUUCCAACCUGAACAUAAAUGUGGUAGGGUUUCUUUAGUGUAAGUUCCUUGUUUGCUUGCACACUCUCAAGCGUAUAAACUGUCUUGCUGUGGAAUUGGCAAGAGGAUGACCCUUAAUUUUAUAGUGUUCCAUUCUUAAUUGUAUAUAAUCCAUUGUGGGGAGAAGUGAUGAUUUGUUUUUGUUUCUGUGGCUAUCAUCAUGCAUUUUAAACUGUCAAAAGCUUGGAUAUUCUUCUUUUAUGGUGUUUUUUUGUUUAGUUAUAUGGAAUUUGAGAGAGCAUGUAUGUAACAUGUUUUGUUGUUUCUCCUCUCCUUAGCUAAAGCUAUAGAUGAGUGUGCCAGUACGUCUUAAAUCUAAGGCAGCAGAAUCAAAUGCUGAAGCAGCAAAUGCAGAUCCUGGGUUGGAGGCUAUCAUGGAGGGAAUGUUGAGCAAGUGUGCAAGCUUAUGUGUUUUUAAAUGAAAAAUUUGUUCCCCUAGCUUUCUGACCAUUUUUUUCAUUUUAGGUGUAAGUGCCUUUUUUGUAAAUUGUAAGGAUCAUGAUACAACUACUCUUGAAUGUUACAAUGUUAGUCCUAAAUGCCCCAAUGUUACAACUACUCUUGAAUAAUUUUAUUUUGAGAAAUGUGGAUUGAAUA